rnacentral:rRNA from 1 species
AGGUGCGAUCAUACCAGCACUAAUGCACCGGAUCCCAUCAGAACUCCGCAGUCAAGCGUGCUUGGGCGAGAGUAGUACUAGGAUGGGUGACCUCCUGGCGAAGUCCUCGUGUUGCCACUU